AGCGGCGGACGGGUGAGUAACGCGUGGGUAACCUGCCUCAUACAGGGGGAUAACAGUUAGAAAUGACUGCUAAUACCGCAUAAGACCACAGUACUGCAUGGUACAGUGGUAAAAACUCCGGUCGUAUGAGAUGGACCCGCGUCUGAUUAGCUGGUUGGUGGGGUAACGGCCCACCAAGGCGACGAUCAGUAGCCGGCCUGAGAGGGUGAACGGCCACAUUGGGACUGAGACACGGCCCAAACUCCUACGGAAGGCAGCAG
rnacentral:rRNA from 1 species